GGCGUCCAGGCAGACACCACUGACUUUUGAGACAUGGGAGUAAGGAAGGAAAGAAUUCAUGUGCUCCUUGAAAAUACAACAGACUGUUUUCAGAAUACUUUUAUGUGUUGUUGAAAGAAAGUAUUGCCACUAAUAUAGCUACAAAGGAGAAACAGUUAUUCUUAAAUGUCAUCUAUUUGCUGGUUCAGAACAGGAAUUCACUAUGGAGCUCAUACAACUACCAUCUUCAACUAUUAAUCAAGGAGUCAUUCAACUGAGAAUGGGGAGAUUGAGGUGCUGAAUCACUUUUUAUUUUGUGAAGUCCACCAGAAUAACCCAUAAAGCAAAUAGCAACCUAUUUCAAUUAGAAAAAUAAAAAAAUCCUUAUAUAUCUGACAAAUUCUGAAACUAACACUUCCACAAAUCAUUGAUAAUCAGUUUUCCAAAUUCUUGGAAUUCCAGACCAUCAACAAGCUAUUCAAAACAAUAAAUAUUAUUAGCUUUGGUGGAGUUAAGCAGUAGCAGUUAAAACCAUUGUAAAAGACAGUGUGGCAAUUCCUCAAGGAUCUAGAAGCAGAAAUACCAUUUGACCCAGCAAUCCCAUUAUUGGAUAUAUACCCAAAGGAU